GAAGAACUGGAGGAGAGAGGGAGAGGGAGAAACUGAGAGUAAAACAGAGCCAAUCACUCAGGCCUCAUCUAAAAUUUAUGUGCUUGAGCAAUUUAAGGGGGCAGUGAGAAUUGAAGAGAAACUGAAGUAGGCCAAAGAAAAAGCUGGUACGACCAAUUACCGCAGCUUGCCCAUCAUUCAUCAGACCGCCACUUUGCUGUUAAUCUUACAGAUCUAACUCCACACUACACUGCACAGUGCCAGCAGAGAGGAGAUGUGUGGCAGAAGCCACUUUUGUUCUUUGAAAGCGGAGGCUCUUCUAUGCACCACUGUUUUGUUGCCUCUCUCUGCAGUGUGCUCCUUCAAAAUCAGCAACUUUUACAAGACAGAUCUCAGAUCUGCCAUCCAAUUAAAGAGAGCUGCUGACGGCCACCAUUAUCCAGGGUGUAGCCUGAUCCAAGGUCAGUUCUGUCAAUCCGUUGCAGGCUUGAAUUCUAAUUAAGGAUUACUCUUGGAGAUAAGUGGCAUGACUUAUCAGUACUUUAAUAAAGACUGAGGAAGUUGUGGAGAAUGCUUUCUAGGAAAAGAAAUGAGACCGUUUGCAGAACACUGUGAGUGUUGGAGUUGUUUUUUCCUUACAGUGUGUAUAUAAUCAGUAUGAACAAUAUCAGAAAUACUGUAUAGCUGAGCAAGUGAAUGGAAGG